CGAGCACGCGCGUGUGGCAUAUCAAUAAGCGGAGGAAAAGAAACUAACUAGGAUUCCCUCAGUAACGGCGAGUGAAGCGGGAAGAGCUCAAAUUUGAAAUCUUCAAGGUUCUACCUUGACGAAUUGUAGUUUAAAGAAGUGUUUUCUGUUAGUGGAGUUGGUAAAAGUUCUUUGGAAUAGGACAUCAUAGAGGGUGAGAAUCCCGUAUUUGGUCAUUCCUUCUAGCUUUGUGAUACACUUUCAAAGAGUCGGAUUGUUUGGGAAUGCAGUCCAAAGUGGGUGGUAAAUUUCAUCUAAAGCUAAAUAUUGGCGAGAGACCGAUAGCGAACAAGUACCGUGAGGGAAAGAUGAAAAGAACUUUGAAAAGAGAGUUAAACAGUACGUGAAAUUGUCAAAAGGGAAGCGUUUGACACCAGUGUUGUUUUUCCGAAAAUCAAUUACGAAUGUUUUAUUUUUGAGGAGUUAUGACUUCAUCGGCUUGCUCCUUUCUUUAUGAAACUUUCUUAAUGCACUUUUCGGUUAACAAGUCAACAUCAAUUUCUUUUGUUGUAAAAGGGUAUGAGGAAGGUGGCUUUCUUUUCGGAGAAAGUGUUUAUAGCCUUGUGCCUCUGCAAUCGGAGAGAUUGAGGUCUGCAGCGUAGAUCCUUCGGGGUUAGAUACACGUUGUGCUAAGUUAUAGCUUUUCAUAGACAACUUGUUGACUUAUGUUUAGUCUUGUAGCUUACUCGCUUGACGCUAUUUUACCUACGCUUAGGAUGUUGAGUCAUCACACAUCUC
rnacentral:rRNA from 1 species